GACGAACGCUGGCGGCGUGCUUAACACAUGCAAGUCGAACGAAGUGGCGCACGGGUGAGUAAUACGUGGGUAACCUGCCCUCCUUUUUGGGAUAAGCCUUGGAAACGGGGUCUAAUACCGAAUAACGGGGGAUGGGGUCGCGGCCUAUCUGCUUGUUGGUGGGGUGAUGGCCUACGAAGGCGGUGCCGGGUAGCCGGCCUGAGAGGGAGACCGGCAACAGUGCGCGGGAGCGACGCCCAAGGCGCCUAGCGGGGGGAGCAAUGGGAGAUAUGGCGCAAUGGUCGUGAACCUAAUGCGGCGGUGCCGAGUAGGGGAUGGAGGCUUUCAGGUUGUAAACCUGUUACGCAAUCGAACGGGUAGGUGGAGAAGAAGCACCGGCUAACUACGUGCCAGCAGCCGCGGUAAUUC
rnacentral:rRNA from 1 species